GGCAGGCCUCCUGGGGAGCUGGGAAUGACUCUUGUCCUUUGCCCUAGGAGCUGGGCACCACCCCAUGGGAGGAGAGCACCAAUGACAUCUCCCACUACCUCGGCAUGCUGGACCCCUGGUAUGAGCGCAAUGUACUGGGCCUCAUGCACCUGCCCCCUGAAGUCCUGUGCCAGCAGUCCCUGAAGGCUGAAGCCCAGGCCCUGGAGGGCACCCCCACCCAGCUGCCCAUCCUGGCCGACAUGCUACUAUACUACUGCCGCUUUGCCGCCAGACCGGUGCUGCUGCAAGUCUAUCAGACCGAGCUGACCUUCAUCACUGGGGAGAAGACGACAGAGAUCUUCAUCCACUCCUUGGAGCUGGGUCACUCCGCUGCCACACGUGCCAUCAAGGCGUCGGGUCCUGGCAGCAAGCGGCUGGGCAUCGAUGGCGACCGGGAGGCUGUUCCUCUAACACUACAGAUUAUUUACAGCAAGGGGGCCAUCAGUGGACGAAGCCGCUGGAGCAACCUGGAGAAGGUCUGUACCUCCGUGAACCUCAACAAGGCCUGCCGGAAGCAGGAGGAGCUGGGUGAGUGGCGUGGUCAGGGUGGGGUGGGCAGUAGGGAGGUGCUCUGAGCCUGGCCUGAGUGUCCCUGCCCUUCAGAUUCCAGCAUGGAGGCCCUGACGCUAAACCUGACAGAAGUGGUAAAAAGGCAGAACUCCAAAUCCAAGAAGGGCUUUAACCAGAUUAGCACAUCGCAGAUCAAAGUGGACAAGGUGCAGAUCAUCGGCUCCAACAGCUGCCCCUUUGCUGUAUGCCUGGACCAGGAUGAGAGAAAGAUCCUGCAGAGUGUAGUCAGAUGUGAGGUCUCACCAUGCUACAAGCCGGAGAAGAGCAACCUCUGCUCGCCACCCCAGACGCCUCCUGACCUGCCGGCCCAGGCCGCGCCUGAUCUCUGCUCCCUUCUCUGCCUGCCCAUCAUGACUUUCAGUGGA
rnacentral:sRNA from 1 species